rnacentral:misc_RNA from 1 species
GAUGAAGAACGUAGCGAAAUGCGAUACUUGGUGUGAAUUGCAGAAUCCCGUGAACCAUCGAGUCUUUGAACGCAAGUUGCGCCCGAAGCCAUUAGGCCGAGGCACGCCUGCCUGGGCGUCACACGUCGUUGCCCCCCCCAUCUACUCCUUCGGGAUUGCGGGGGGCGGAUGAUGGCCUCCCGUGCGCCUCGCCGCGCGGUUGGCAUAAAUGCCAAGUCCUCGGCGAUGCACGCCACGACAAUCGGUGGUUGCGAAACCUCGGUUGCCCGUCGUGUGCGGUCGUCGCGCAUCGAGGGCUCGAAAAAAUUGCCGGGUUCCGGCUCGGCUUUCAACGCGACCCCAGGUCAGGCGGGGUUACCCGCUGAAUUUAAGCAUAUCAAUAAGCGGAGGA